rnacentral:rRNA from 1 species
GACGAACGCUGGCGGCGUGCUUAACACAUGCAAGUCGAACGGAAAGGCCCUGCUUUUGUGGGGUGCUCGAGUGGCGAACGGGUGAGUAACACGUGAGUAACCUGCCCUUGACUUUGGGAUAACUUCAGGAAACUGGGGCUAAUACCGGAUAGGAGCUCCUGCUGCAUGGUGGGGGUUGGAAAGUUUCGGCGGUUGGGGAUGGACUCGCGGCUUAUCAGCUUGUUGGUGGGGUAGUGGCUUACCAAGGCUUUGACGGGUAGCCGGCCUGAGAGGGUGACCGGCCACAUUAGGACUGAGAUACGGCCCGGACUCCUACGGGAGACAGCGGUGGGGAAUAUUGCACAGUGGACGGACGCCUGAUGCAGCAACGCCGCGUGCGGGAUGACGGCCUUCGGGUUGUAAACCGCAUUCGCCUGUGACGAAGCGUGAGUGACGGUAAUGGGUAAAGAAGCACCGGCUAACUACGUG